rnacentral:rRNA from 1 species
AUUGAACGCUGGCGGCAGGCCUAACACAUGCAAGUCGAACGGUAACAGGAAGCAGCUUGCUGCUUCGCUGACGAGUGGCGGACGGGUGAGUAAUGUCUGGGAAGCUGCCUGAUGGAGGGGGAUAACUACUGGAAACGGUAGCUAAUACCGCAUAAUGUCGCAAGACCAAAGAGGGGGACCUUCGGGCCUCUUGCCAUCGGAUGUGCCCAGAUGGGAUUAGCUUGUUGGUGGGGUAACGGCUCACCAAGGCGACGAUCCCUAGCUGGUCUGAGAGGAUGACCAGCCACACUGGGACUGAGACACGGUCCAGACUCUUACGGGAGGCAGCAGUGGGGAAUAUUGCACAAUGGGCGCAAGCCUGAUGCAGCCAUGCCGCGUGUAUGAAGAAGGCCUUCGGGUUGUAAAGUACUUUCAGCGGGGAGGAAGGGAGUAAAGUUAAUACCUUUGCUCAUUGACGUUACCCGCAGAAGAAGCACCGGCUAACUCCGUG